rnacentral:ncRNA from 1 species
UACUAUUUCGGCCAUGUUGGUGCGCUAUUUUUAAAUUUAAUAAUAGCCUGAAAAGGGAAUCUGGUGUGAAUCCAGAGCUGACGCGCAACGGUAAGAGAGAGCUAGGUAAUAGGCAUCAUCCAAACGGUUGUUUUUCUGUAUAUAAGGAUAUAGGAAAAAUAAUGGGAAGUGACUCCCGCCUAAGUUCAUUAUUCUCAAGUCCGAAGACCUGCCAACAAUAAGCAAUACAUG